rnacentral:rRNA from 1 species
GAGAGGAGCUUGCUCUUCUUGGAUGAGUUGCGAACGGGUGAGUAACGCGUAGGUAACCUGCCUUGUAGCGGGGGAUAACUAUUGGAAACGAUAGCUAAUACCGCAUAACAAUGGAUGACACAUGUCAUUUAUUUGAAAGGGGCAAUUGCUCCACUACAAGAUGGACCUGCGUUGUAUUAGCUAGUAGGUGAGGUAAUGGCUCACCUAGGCGACGAUACAUAGCCGACCUGAGAGGGUGAUCGGCCACACUGGGACUGAGACACGGCCCAGACUCCUACGGGAGGCAGCAGUAGGGAAUCUUCGGCAAUGGGGGCAACCCUGACCGAGCAACGCCGCGUGAGUGAAGAAGGUUUUCGGAUCGUAAAGCUCUGUUGUAAGUCAAGAACGGGUGUGAGAGUGGAAAGUUCACACUGUGACGGUAGCUUACCAGAAAGGGACGGCUAACUACGUGCCAGCAGCCGCGGUAAUACGUAGGUCCCGAGCGUUGUCCGGAUUUAUUGGGCGUAAAGCGAGCGCAGGCGGUUUGAUAAGUCUGAAGUUAAAGGCUGUGGCUCAACCAUAGUUCGCUUUGGAAACUGUCAAACUUGAGUGCAGAAGGGGAGAGUGGAAUUCCAUGUGUAGCGGUGAAAUGCGUAGAUAUAUGGAGGAACACCGGUGGCGAAAGCGGCUCUCUGGUCUGUAACUGACGCUGAGGCUCGAAAGCGUGGGGAGCGAACAGGAUUAGAUACCCUGGUAGUCCACGCCGUAAACGAUGAGUGCUAGGUGUUGGAUCCUUUCCGGGAUUCAGUGCCGCAGCUAACGCAUUAAGCACUCCGCCUGGGGAGUACGACCGCAAGGUUGAAACUCAAAGGAAUUGACGGGGGCCCGCACAAGCGGUGGAGCAUGUGGUUUAAUUCGAAGCAACGCGAAGAACCUUACCAGGUCUUGACAUCCCGAUGCUAUUUCUAGAGAUAGAAAGUUACUUCGGUACAUCGGUGACAGGUGGUGCAUGGUUGUCGUCAGCUCGUGUCGUGAGAUGUUGGGUUAAGUCCCGCAACGAGCGCAACCCCUAUUGUUAGUUGCCAUCAUUCAGUUGGGCACUCUAGCGAGACUGCCGGUAAUAAACCGGAGGAAGGUGGGGAUGACGUCAAAUCAUCAUGCCCCUUAUGACCUGGGCUACACACGUGCUACAAUGGUUGGUACAACGAGUUGCGAGUCGGUGACGGCGAGCUAAUCUCUUAAAGCCAAUCUCAGUUCGGAUUGUAGGCUGCAACUCGCCUACAUGAAGUCGGAAUCGCUAGUAAUCGCGGAUCAGCACGCCGCGGUGAAUACGUUCCCGGGCCUUGUACACACCGCCCGUCACACCACGAGAGUUUGUAACACCCGAAGUCGGUGAGGUA